rnacentral:hammerhead_ribozyme from 1 species
AUCCAGCUGACGAGUUCAAAAUUGGACGAAAUGCAUAUUGUCCUGAAU